rnacentral:rRNA from 1 species
AACUAACGCUGGCGGCGUGCCUAACACAUGCAAGUCGUACGAGAAAGCCGGCUUCGGCUGGUGAGUAAAGUGGCGCACGGGUGAGUAACGCGUGGAUAAUCUGCCCUUAAGUGUGGAAUAACGUACCGAAAGGUGCGCUAAUACCGCAUAAUGCCUGGCAACACAAGUUGUCCGGCCAAAGAAGGCCUCUGUUUACAAGCUUUCGCUUCAGGAUGAGUCCGCGUACCAUUAGCUUGUUGGUGGGGUAAUGGCCUACCAAGGCUGCGAUGGUUAGCUGGUCUGAGAGGAUGUACGGCCACACUGGGACUGAGAUACGGCCCAGACUCCUACGGGAGGCAGCAGUUGGGAAUCUUAGGCAAUGGGCGAAAGCCUGACCUAGCGACGCCGCGUGAGGGAAGAAGGCCUUCGGGUCGUAAACCGUCUGUCAUGGGGGACGAAGGAAGUGACGGUACCCCAAGAGGAAGCCCCUGCUAACUACGUG